CCUCACACUCCCGGUCAGAGGUUUGAGAAAACUCCCGCUGUUCCUGUUUUUAUUGAAAUUUCAGCAGCUCGACUCCAGUGAAAACAUUCAAAAGGAUUAAAAGGCAAUGGAUCAGUGUGAGGAGGAGGAGGAGGAGGAAGAGGAGGAGGAGGUUGACCCCCCCCCCCCCCCCCACCACGGGGUGCUUCAGCUGGAGUAUCCCACACUGCUGCAAACAUGAUGGUGCAGCUGCAGCAUCUCAAGAGGAAUCCUCGCAGGCGAGGCGUAUUGUUGCGUUCAGUCGGUGGUUACCGUGGCAGCAGCUCCCCCUUUGAUCCUCCUCUGACUCAGGCAGAUUGGAUGAUCCCUUUUUCUGUGUUUUAUCACGGUCUGAGCCCGAGUCUCCGUCCUGCUGCGGCCGGUGAUGAACACGCCACACAGAGCCGACGCCCCGGGGAGCAAACUCAGCUGCCACCGCCGCCGGAGAGACGGAGGAGGAGUCCACAGGUCGUUUUGGAGGCUGUGAUCUUUAAUAUUCUUUGACUAGUCCGCGACAUAAACGAACGAAUGAAGCUUUACAAGUUUAUUAUACUAAACUCAGAAACUAAAUAGGAAAUAAACUGAAUGAAUGAAUUCAUGAUUAAACUAAAAGAUUAAAAUAAAACUCCAAUUUAGCGACUGAAUGCAGGAACUCAUCUGAGAAACUGAAGCUUUAAUUAAAGAUCUAAACUCGA